GGACCUGGAGGCGUCCAAUGUCAUCCAGGCCGGUGGACCAAAGCUUUGGUGGGAUCCGGUCUAGAGCACUGGGGGCAUGUGGGACCCGUGAAUUCCCUGUGGAAGCAGUGAGAUUUAACAGUAUGGGGAGAGAGCAGAGUACUGAAGUGUCUUUCUGUGAUAAGGGUGUAGUUAAUUGGACCUGACCAUCAGCGGUAAAGGUAAUAGAGGCCUGGAGCCG